UGGGGAAUUUUGGACAAUGGACGCAAGUCUGAUCCAGCCAUGCCGCGUGCGGGAAGAAGGCCUUCUGGUUGUAAACCGCUUUUGUCAGGGAAGAAACGAGUUUCUCUAAUACAGAGACUUAAUGACGGUACCUGAAGAAUAAGCACCGGCUAACUACGUGCCAGCAGCCGCGGUAAUACGUAGGGUGCGAGCGUUAAUCGGAAUUACUGGGCGUAAAGCUUGCGCAGGCGGUUAUAUAAGACAGGUGUGAAAUCCCCGGGCUCAACCUGGGACCUGCAUUUGUGACUGUAUAGCUAGAGUACGGUAGAGGGGGAUGGAAUUCCGCGUGUAGCAGUGAAGUGCGUAGAUAUGCGGAGGAACACCGAUAGCGAAGGAAAUCCCCUGGACCUGUACUGACGCUCAUGCACGAAAGCGUGGGGAGCAAACA
rnacentral:rRNA from 1 species